ACACGAGUCAGCAGGAAGUGGCCAGGAAGGGUCCAGCAAGGCACAGCCUGAGCCUGCAGCUUCCCAGAGGGUGGACCCAACGACUCAGGCAGCAUCAGCCGGGCAGACACUCCCGGGUCCCGGCCUCAUCCGGCCUGCGGCAGUUCCUCCCCUUCCCCCACUCCUGCCUGGCACUUACGUCCAGCCCCGCGCGUGCAGUCGGUCCAGAGCCCGGUGUCGCGCCGCGCCGGGCCGCCUCACUUUCCCAGUUCCAGCCAAGAAAACAAAACAGCUACAGGCCGCCGGAUACCCGGAUUGAGCAGCACCGCCCCAGGAGCUCGGUCGCGCAUGCGGAGACGGGGCGGAGGGAGCGGCGCGGGGAGAGUAGCACUCGCUGAGGGAGGGCUAGAGAGAGCCACGCCCACCGCGCCGACGUCUCUGCGCAUGCUCCGGGCGCCAGCUGUGGGGAUGCUCCGGGCGCCAGUUGUGGGGACUUUCCGCAGCGCUCAGUUCACAUGUGUACGUCGGAAGUGAUACUUGGGUCCGGCAUUCAAGGGUAAAAUGGAGCUAUUAGAAAAUAGCAAAAGCAAGUGCAGCUAAAUCAUUCGGAACAGCCAACCUUGACUUCCCAGCUAGUCUCAGAACUGUUCCUUGUAUCUAAAGAAAGAAACUGUGGAACAGCUGUACUAAAUACUGCAAAGUUCAAGAACUGCGUGAUGAUCUUUGAAGAGGCCAUAAGGAGCCUAGAAAAGGAUAAACUGUCUGCACCUGCGUUAUUUGAUACUAUGUGAUCCCAUCCAGGACAGCACAUUACAUUUAUGUCUCCUGAGGCUCCUCUUAACUGUGACAGUUUCUCAGACUUUCCUUGUUUCUGAUGCACAGAUUUGAGGAGUACUGGUCAGGAAUAUUGUAGGUGUUGGCUAUUUUUUGUAUGUAACAUUUCAUGAUUAAAAAUUACUAAUCAGGGGGACUUCCCUGGUGGUCCAGUGGUUAAGAAUCCAUCUGCCAAUGCAGGGGACACAGGUUCCAUCCCUGGUCUGGGAAGAUCCCAUAUGCCGUGGGGCAGCUAAGCCCGUGCACCAUACUACCAAGCCCGAGCUCUAGAACCCGCGUGCCGCAACUACUGAGCCUGCGUGCUGCAAAUACUGAAGCCUGCACGCCUAGAGCCCGUGCUCCACAACAAGAGAAGCCACUGCAGUGAGAAGCCCACGCACCGCAACGAAGAGUAGCCCCUCUCGCCGCAUCUAGAGAAAAGACUGCGCGCAGCAAUGAAGACCCAGCGCAGCCAAAAAACAAAAAAGAACCAAAGAGUGGUGAUCAUUAAAAAAAAAAAGAAAAAUUAGUAAUCAGGGAAUUCCCUGGUGGUCCAGUGGUUAAGAAUUCGUGCUUCUACUGCAGGGGGCACAGGUUCGAUUCCUGGUUGGGGAACUAAGAUCCUGCAUGCCAUACGGCACGACCAAAAAGAGAAAAAAAAUAGUAAUCAAUUCUGAUAGCAAUACCUGUUGGGCCUACCUUAAAACACACACACACACACACACACACACACACACACACACACACACCCCACCUCUGUGCUAUCAAUUUAGUGCAAGCCAGCAUCAUUUCUCACUCUAAUCACUGCAGUUGUCUCUCUGCUCUAUAUUGGGCCUCCACUCCUCCCAUCUUUUCUCCACACAGCAGCCAGAGAGGUUUUAAAAUAUAAAUCAGCUUCUAUUUCUUCUGGUCUCCAGAUGCUUCAAUGGCUUCUUUUCUUGUAGACUAAAAUACACUACAGUAUCCUUCAUGCUCUCAUCACUUACCACUCUUCCCCCGGCUUACUCUGCUCUGUCACACUGGCUUCCUUGUAGCCCCUGAAACACACCGCACUCCUGCCCUAGGACCGUUGCACCUGUCCUUUACCUGGAACGUUCCUCCUCCGCACAGCCACAGGCUCACUCCUCCACUCUUUCUAGUCUCUGCUCAGAUGUCAUCUCUUCAGAGAGGCAUUCCCUCGCACCUUAUCUUGCAGCCCGCCCCCCACAAGUUGUCCUCUUUCUCCUUAACUUUUUUUUUAAUUCAAAAUAUCACUACCUGACAUUACAUUCUACAUCUUAAUUUAUUGUCUGUCUCUUCCAUUAGAAUACAAGUUUCACGAGGCCAAGCACUUAAUACAACUUGUUUAUUGCUGUAUCUUAGGCUCAAAGUUAACACUCAAUAACUAUUGGUUACAUUAAUUAGUCAAUAAAAUACUUUUUUUUUUUUUUACAAGGAAGUUGGUUGUUAGGUAAGGUGGUUCACAGUCUGGGACUCCUGAACUCCUAGAUAUCUUUGAAGGUGGCAGUUUUCUGAAUUUCUAAAGAUCUGGUCAGACUACAAUUUACUUACCGGGGGAUGGUUCAUUAAUGGAUAUAUCUCCAGAAUCUGGGAUAAUUCCUUGAAUACACUGAGCACUCAAUAGAGAUACCUGUAUUAUAAUUAACUGGAAUGAAAUUGGCAAUGUGGCAAAGCCAAGUCUUUGUGAUGGCAGCAUAUCUGAAAGGCAGAGGAAUACUGAGAAAGUUUAUGUACGAGGACAAUAAUCACACAUUAAAAUUAUAUAAUGUUUGUUAAUAACA